AUUGAACGCUGGCGGCAUGCCUUACACAUGCAAGUCGAACGGUAACAGGCCGCAAGGUGCUGACGAGUGGCGAACGGGUGAGUAAUGCAUCGGAACGUGCCCAGUCGUGGGGGAUAACUGCUCGAAAGAGCAGCUAAUACCGCAUACGACCUGAGGGUGAAAGCGGGGGACCGGUAAGGCCUCGCGCGAUUGGAGCGGCCGAUGUCAGAUUAGGUAGUUGGUGAGGUAAAGGCUCACCAAGCCGACGAUCUGUAGCUGGUCUGAGAGGACGACCAGCCACACUGGGACUGAGACACGGCCCAGACUCCUACGGGAGGCAGCAGUGGGGAAUUUUGGACAAUGGACGCAAGUCUGAUCCAGCCAUGCCGCGU
rnacentral:rRNA from 1 species